rnacentral:rRNA from 1 species
AAACCAACAGGGAUUGCCUUAGUAACGGCGAGUGAAGCGGCAAAAGCUCAAAUUUGAAAUCUGGCGCCUUCGGUGUCCGAGUUGUAAUUUGAAGAAGGCUACUUUGGAGUUGGCUCUUGUCUAUGUUCCUUGGAACAGGACGUCACAGAGGGUGAGAAUCCCGUGCGAUGAGAUGCCCAAUUCUUUGUAAAGUGCUUUCGAAGAGUCGAGUUGUUUGGGAAUGCAGCUCUAAGUGGGUGGUAAAUUCCAUCUAAAGCUAAAUAUUUGCGAGAGACCGAUAGCGAACAAGUACAGUGAUGGAAAGAUGAAAAGAACUUUGAAAAGAGAGUGAAAAAGUACGUGAAAUUGUUGAAAGGGAAGGAUUUGAGAUCAGACUUGGUAUUUUGCAACCUUACCCUCGUGGUGGGGCCCCUGCAGUUUACUGGGCCAGCAUCAGUUUGGAUGAUGGGAUAAUGACUAAGGAAUGUGGCUCUGCUUCGGUGGAGUGUUAUAGACUUGGUUGAUACCGUCUAUCUAGACUGAGGAC